CAUGUAAAUAAUUCUACAUCUUAGUACAUAAUUCCAUAAUAAUAAAAUUGAAAUUAGAAUGAUAACAAUUAAAUUAGAUUGAAAUAAAAGAAACACUACUAUCAUACAUAUGUAAGUGCACACGUAUAAUUUAAAUUAUGAUUGCCGCCAAUCACUUCUACAUUAUCGACAGAUGGAAAAUAUUAAUACUUUUGCGUUAUAUAUAAUGUCUAUGGUAAAACUAGUAUUUAUUUUUAACUCAUGUAUAUACAUAUUUAUUAAUUUUUACUACGAAACUCAAUAAUAUUAAUGAAAAACUGAUAUUAUUAAUAACGUUAAAAGCAUUACUACAUGUGAAAGUUAUUAACAAGUAUAAAAUAACUUGCAAAUAUAUUAUAAAACUACAGAAAAGCUAUCGUAACUUAUCAUUAUUAAACACACUUAUAACUGAAUAAUUGUAACAUACAACUUUCCAAGUAUAAUAACGAUAUUUAUAUGACAUAUAUAUUACUCAGGUUACAGUAACCUGAGUAAUAUAAUAUUUGAAAUCCGAGAAAAAUUUAUCCGAGUUAAUAACAUAUUUAUCGAAGUACAGUGUCUAAUUAUAUCACAAACAAAUGACAAGUACAUAUCACAGAAAAGAUUUUAGUUUAUCAAAAUCUAAAACAUUAAAGAAUUUCGCUGUGAUUUUAAAACCCAUAUAUUUCAUUAUUAAUUAUUAUUCAUAAGUGGAAACUGUAAAAAGGAAAAAGAUAUUCGCUCUUUGGAAUUAAGUACACAUUUCGAUGAUGUAAUUGCAGACGUGCGGAUUAUACCACAAAAUUGAAUGUAUAUUUAGACUCAUGUUGUGUUUCAAAUGUUAACAGGAAUAAAUAUAGUAGAUGUAACCGUGCUAAAUAUA